rnacentral:tRNA from 1 species
GCUGGUGUGGCGAAACUGGUAAACGCAGUGAUCUCUCACAUCACUGGACGAAAGUCCUUGCGGGUUCGAAUCCCGUCACCAGCACCC